rnacentral:rRNA from 1 species
CACGUAGGCGGUUAUUCAAGUCAGAGGUGAAAGCCCGGGGCUCAACCCCGGAACGGCCUUUGAAACUAGAUAGCUAGAAUCUUGGAGAGGUCAGUGGAAUUCCGAGUGUAGAGGUGAAAUUCGUAGAUAUUCGGAAGAACACCAGUGGCGAAGGCGACUGACUGGACAAGUAUUGACGCUGAGGUGCGAAAGCGUGGGGAGCAAACA